CUAAUUUUACAUGAAAUACAAUAUUAUUUCCGUAAAUUACGUACGAUAAGGUAACAAAAUAGGUAAUAAUACAGCUCGUAAUAAAUUGUGUUAAUUGGCGCCUUAGAAUAAGUAGUAGCUAUACGUACUUAUAAACUAAUACGCUAUAUCCUUUUAAUCACACUAAUAUUGUAAAUGAUGUUUGUCGGUCAAUCACGUUGAAACUACUGUAGGAUUACGUUUUAUCUACCUACGGAUUUAGAUGAUAUUUGGUAUCUAUAUAGACCUGUCUGUCACACAAGUCAGCUCAUACCCUGGUAUGAAAAAAAGUUCCGUGAAUUUCUCACAAUAAAACAUAAAAUAUUACUAUAACCACAGAUAAUAUAAUAUAGCUAUAACAUAAAAAAUACAAACAUAACCCCAUAAUAACGUCAUCUUCAUCAAAAGGCCAUAAUUGUAUACUGCAGGGGCACAGAAACGCUCGUGUAUGGUCGACCAAGUUGAAGUUAAGUUUUAUUUGAAAUCGAGGGGCUCAGUUAAAUAACAAAAACAAAAAAUCAAUAUGUAAAAUUAUUUUAAUAUUGCAUUACAAUAAAUUGUCACAACAAGGAAUUGCCACGAGCCUACCGUACACAUAUACGUCGAUCCACACCAUAGCGCUAAUUUACAAUGUUCCCUUUACCCUUCUUUAAACAAGUAUCUACAAUUACGUAUAAAAUAUAUAUUACACCAAACCUCAAAUAAUGCUUUUUAUUUUUUUUUGUCAACGAGCGGUUAGCAUUAAUCAAUAGUCUCCUUCCAAUCCAUGAUAGAUACCUUUAUCUUAGUCGCAAGGAAUCCAUUGCUGGACCCUAUCACCAGCGGCUAAUAUACACGCCGUAUUAAGGCUAAAUUAUAGUAGAACUGUAAUAUUGUGAUAUUAUAUCGUAACUUUUUUGGUCAGUAUUUCUAAAAAUUACAAUUAGGACUAUGGUGUGAAUUCAAGUCUUAUUUUACUUAAUAUUAAAAACCUAUGCAUGAUAUUAACUAGUACACUUAACGUUACAUCACAUGUAGAAUGAGAUAUUUUUCAUAAUAAGUAACAAUGGCCGAAGAUAUUUCGUCACUUACUCCGUUCCCAACAAGUAAAAUUAUACCUCAUCAUACAGUUUGUUUUACUAUAGUAUUACAACGAUUAAGCGUCUUAUUAUGCAUCUAUUACCUAUCUAUAUUAUGACGCACUUUAAAUUAGAUAUGACGCAAUUAAAAGACACAGGUUGGAGAUCAGAAAAACCAGCCUUUUAUUACCGUAAGCAAUAGUUAUGCGUAUACAAAGUUUUCUUAAAAAUAUUGCCAGUAUAAAAGUAAGCAAAAGUAAAAAAUAGCUACCAAUCGUAUUAUCUGCGUGGCAGUGGUAUAAGCACCAGAUAUGUCUGGGUCAUCCAUCAAAUUGAUUUAAUAGUAACAACUGUACAUAAAUAUUAUGAUUAUAAAUCUCAAAUAUUUCCAAAUCCUAUAAAUGCAUUUAAAAAAUUUUCAGGAACAGCUUUACAAUACCUUACUUCAUCAUUGAAAUAUUGCUCAAGCUUCAUUAACUUACUUAUUGUAAUUAUGAUAACAGCUGUUCUAUCCACUGGAAUGAAUAAGUAUUUCACCACUUCGCUCUAUAAAUACCUACGAAAAAUGGACACUUAUCGGCUGAUUAAAAGUUUUUAAAAAGUUUUCGUAUGCUAGAUAUAAUAUAUAAAUAUAACAAAUAUUUCAUUGUUUUUAAUUUAACAACGUGUACAUUUUCACUUAAGCAACGUAAUAAAUUAUCAUUAUACAUCGUGGACAUUGCCAAAUUUAGAAGAUUUUUUUUUUGGUUAAUAUUCUAUCAGGGAUUUAAGCUAUUUGCUAACAUUGAGGAAAUCUUCUUUUGGCUGAAUUAGUGAGAUAAGAUAAAUUAUUUGCUGUCUCGACAACUUGACGCACACAAUUUUAUAGGGUUUUCAUUUUAAAAAACCUGCCAACAGUUGUUGACGUAAGAGAAACAAGUCAAGGAUCAAAGGUGCAGAACUAUUCUCUUAAAACCUUGAUUUUUAUUUCGAAAUUAAUUCUUUUGAGCCUUACGUUUUUAUGUAUUGUAUUGCGAAAACAGUUUGUACAGUGACCUUUAAUCUUGUACUUUUCAUUUAAUUCAUCAAAAUCAGAACGAAAGCCAUUUAACAUAAGGACAACAUUAAAUUACAUUCCUAAUGCAAACAUU